rnacentral:rRNA from 1 species
UGCGUAGGCGGGCUAAUAAGUCAGUGGUGAAAUCUCUUGGCUCAACCGGGAAACUGCCAUUGAUACUGUUAGUCUUGAGUUCGGUUGAGGUAGGCGGAAUGUGUAAUGUAGCGGUGAAAUGCUUAGAUAUUACACAGAACACCAAUUGCGUAGGCAGCUUACUAGACCGACACUGACGCUGAGGCACGAAAGCGUGGGGAGCGAACAGGAUUAGAUACCCUGGUAGUCC